GGACAUUUAGUAUAAUAGGCACAAUACACCUGGCGUUCAAGUCGGGAAACUCUGGUUCGAAUCCAGAAAUGAUCC
rnacentral:tRNA from 1 species